rnacentral:lncRNA from 1 species
ACUUGAUCAUGUUGGAUUAGCUUUUUGAUGUGCUGCUGGAUUCAAUUUGCAAGUAUCUUGUUGAGGAAUUUUGCAUCGAUGUUCAUCAAGAAUAUUGGGAUGAAGUUUUCAUUUUUUGCUGUGUCUCUGCCAGGUUUUGUUAUCAAGAUGUUGGUGGCUUCAUAGAAUCACUUGGGGAGGAGUCCCUCCUUCUCAACUUUUUAGAAGAGUUUCAGUAGAAAUGGUACCAGCUCGUCUUUCUACAUCUGGUAGAAUUCAGCUGUUAAUCCAUCAGGUCCCGAGCUUUUGUUUGGUUGGUAGGCCCUUUAUUACUGAUUCCAUUUCAGAGCUUGUUAUUGGUCUGUUCAGGAAAACAGUUUCUUCCUGGCUCAGUCUUAGGAGGGUGUAUGUGUCCAGGAAUUUAUCCAUCUCUUCUAGGUUUUGUAGUUUGUGUGCAUAGAGGAGUUUGUAGUAGUUUCUGAUAGCUGCUUUUAUUUCUGUGGGGUCAAUAGUAACAUUCCCUUCAUCAUUUCUAAUAGUGUUUAUUUGGAUAUUCUUUCUUUUCUUUGUUAUUAGCCUAGCUAGUGGCCUAUUUUAUUAAUUUUUUCAAAAAACAACUCCUGGAUUUGUUGAUCUUUGAAAUUGUUUUUCAUGUGUCAAUUUCCUUCAGUUCAGCUCUAAUUUUCAUUAUUUCUCGUCUUCUGCUAGCAUUGGGAUUAAUUUGUUCUAGCUUCUCUAAUUAUUUCAAUUGCGAAGUUAGAUUUUUAAUUAAAAUUACGGACCUCUUCACGAAUUUGUGUGCCAUGCUUGUGCAGGAGGCAUGCUUGUGCAGGGGCUCAAGGGGUAUUGAAUUUUAUCAAAAGUCCUUUCUGCAUCUAUUGAGAUAAGACACUCUAUCACAACAGAAUACACAUUCUUUUCAAGUGCACAUAGCAUAUUUAUCAAGAUAAGGAGAGAAAACACAACUAUCAAUAUCAGAAAUCAAAGAGAAGACAUCACUACAGAUCCCACAGAUAUCAAAGGGAUAAAAAAAUUACAAGUCAUUCUUUAUCCAAAUAUUUGAUAACUUAUAA